UACGUAGGGGGGCGAGCGUUGUCCGGAUUUAUUGGGCGUAAAGCGCACGCAGGCGGUCUUUUUACGUUUUUGAGUGACAGGUGGUGGCUCAACCACCACAGGCCUUGAAAUACGGGAAGACUUGAGGACGAGAGAGGGAUGCGGAAUUCCAGGUGGAGCGGUGAAAUGCGUAGAGAUCUGGAAGAACACCAAAGGCGAAGGCAGCAUCCUGGCUCGUAUCUGACGCUGAUGUGCGAAAGCUAGGGGAGCGAACGGG
rnacentral:rRNA from 1 species